rnacentral:lncRNA from 1 species
CAGUGAUAAUAAAACAAUAGGUAAAUGAAAGAGCAAUAAAUGCAUGUAGUGAUCAAUCUUAACAAAUAAAAUUAAAAGAAUAAAGAAAAGAAAACCGGCGUAAGGCUUUGAUGAAAAGGGGUUACCGCGGGGCGGAUUUCACAGCAGCAAGUGAAAACUCUUGGAGCUCCGUACACUAUUAUUCGCCUCGUACCUCAGAUGUUUCCUCUUUCCCGUGUGGCUGGCCUUUUUCGUUUCUCGUUCUUCUUGAAAAAAAAACCUCUUUCUUUCCCUAGAAGUCUCUCCUUCUUUUUUUCUUUGUUCCCUUAUGUUCUCUUUUCGAAAUUGAAUUUUUUCUCUGUUUUUUUUUUAUGUUCCCUUAUGCUCUCCACUUCUUGAAAUUCAAU